CCUACGGGGGGCAGCAGUGAGGAAUAUUGGUCAAUGGCCGUAAGGCUGAACCAGCCAAGUCGCGUGAAGGAAGAAGGAUCUAUGGUUUGUAAACUUCUUUUAUAGGGGAAUAAAGGUAUCCACGUGUGGAUAUUUGCAUGUACCCUAUGAAUAAGCAUCGGCUAACUCCGUGCCAGCAGCCGCGGUAAUACGGAGGAUGCGAGCGUUAUCCGGAUUUAUUGGGUUUAAAGGGAGCGUAGAUGGGUUGUUAAGUCAGUUGUGAAAGUUUGCGGCUCAACCGUAAAAUUGCAAUUGAUACUGGCAGUCUUGAGUACAGUUGAGGUAGGCGGAAUGUAUGGUGUAGCGGUGAAAUGCUUAGAGAUCAUACAGAACACCGAUUGCGAAGGCAGCUUACCAAGCUACUUCUGACGUUGAGGCACGAAAGCGUGGGGAGCAAACAGGAUUAGAUACCCCAGUAGUC
rnacentral:rRNA from 1 species